UUCCAGGAUUGCAUUGAAAUGGUGACCUUGCCUCCUUCUGAAGUUUCAAAGUCAAAUUUCUCCUCAAGCCACCUUAAUGAUCAGCCAGUAGACGACGUUCAAAUUGUGGGGACUUCCAGUUUUGUUGAUAGAUGCAAAGACCUUUCAAGGUCUAAUGAUGUUGCUUACAACAAGCUUAACAACUUCAACUUGACAGAAUCUCAAUCAACUAGUCAUUUCCCUAAGAAUCAAAAAGCUAUUGCUAGUUCAGAAGUAGAGAUCUUGUCUUCCGGGAAUGCCUCUAGAGAUCUUUCUCCUGCUCAAGUUCCUAAAGCUCAUGGCUCAUCUUUUGUUGUUCCUAGUGGUUCAUCUGGUGCUCAUCUACCUCGCAGGAUGGUUUUACCAGGUAGAUAUAACUCGGAUUCUUAUGUUGCUCAGGGUAACAAGUUUCCUGUUUCUGCUAAAGAAAGGCGUCACCUCCUAGCAAUGGUUCAAAUUGGAGACCAUGAAAGUUGGUGCAAGUAUGAAGCAAUUCGAUAUGACUGAUCCUACUGUAGUUACCGUAAUCUUGCAACUUUGAAGUCAAGAGAACAUGUGGAUAAUUUCUUGAUUUUGUGCGUUUGUCGUUAUCUGUUCAAACAAGCCCACCCAUCGGUAUCAAGGAAACAUUUCUUCUUCUCUUAUAUUGGGGAAACCAUUCUAAGAGGUACUGAUGUUGAUAUUGUAGGCAAUGCAUUUACUGGCGCUAAGUGCUUUCCCAAUGUGGAGAAGUAAUCUGUUAUUCUUUCCUAUUGGACAGGAGAAACACUGGUUUACCUUGGUUGUUUGCUUGAAGGAGAGGGCAUUCGCAUUUCUUGAUUCUUUGUACGGGGCAAAGGAUCAUUUUCAUCUGGGAAUUCAUGAUAAAUUGAUUGAAAAUUUCAUAACAAUCUGGGAUCAGUUUGUGACUCCUAUCCUACGUACUCGUAUCGACUUUGAGAAUUUUGACAUUGUCUACCCUACUGUUCCACAGCAAAAUAACUGGGAGGAUUGUGGUGUUUUCACUAUCAUGUAUCUGAAGCACCGGACUCCUAGGACCCCAAUUGGCAAUAUGUUUGGCGCAGCCGAUGUUGAUAACAUAAGAAUCAGAUUGGCAAACGAGUUGUAUUUCAGUGGAUUCAACAGUGUCGACAAGACAUUUGUUACCCACUUCUUCGAUGAUGUCAAGGCUUAGGUUUUCCUGGAAGAUGCAUUUUUGUGACAUUGAAGGCUUUGCUUAAAACUAGGCUUUCCAAGAAAUUAUAGAUAGUAGUACUGCUGGCAAUGUUUUUUGUCGGUAGUGUGAUUAAAUCCGAUAAAUUUGUACGCUUUGGUCUAGUUGUCAUGUCUGUGUGUUGGAUGGUUGUUCUAUUUUUAAUGUCGUGAAUCAGUGACUCUUUUUAACAGAGAAGUAUGAGAAGAAUGGUUUCUUUAUCUCAUUUGUUUUACUUGUUGCUUUUGUUCCUUUGUGAUUGUUUGAUUUAUUUUUAUUUACUGUAUUGUUAAGCAUGCUUGCUUCAACGGCAGUUAGACGUUCUUGGGUAAUCAAGGUUCAUUUCCCCCCAACAUAUUCUUUUGCUUGUUUUUCCCUUUAGGUGUUUAGUAUAUUCUGAACAUUUUUGUCCCUUUGUUGUUGUUGCAGGGUUGGUUUAAUUCUUUCUUAAGUCCCCCAAUAAUUAAACUCAAAUUGUCAAACUUACAAGUACAAUAUCCAGAUGAAGAAACUCCAUCCUCAUUUGUUCUUGUGGCUCAUCUUGUUGAUUUUGCUCUGUUGUCCCCCAAUUAUUCACGGAUGUUCUUCCUCCUUGCUCCUCGUCAGGGAAGAUGAGCCAUUCCUCCUCACAAGUAAGCCAGGACAGCAACAAUCCUUCUUGAUUCCAGGAACCUCUCAAUGUCUUCUUCAUCAAGGAAUUCAUCCUCUGCAUCUUGCCCAAUGUGUACCUGUUGCAGAUUCAAGUUGUAGAACAGGUUUCUGUCCCAUGGAUUAGAUUCUCCUCCACCAUCUUCACUUUCUGCCACUUCAUGAUGCAAGUCUCCCUCCAAUGUCUGCAAAGUAUGCUAGUAUAAUGAAUAUGAAGAAAUUUCCUCCCUGAUUUGUUCAUGCGAGAGGGGCAGAGAGAAGCUGGUGAGCAGUUGAGAUGCUGACCUGUGGUUGGUGAUGCUGAUUCCCCUCUGAUGAUCUUCUUUCUUGCUGCUCGUCAGGUGAGAUCUGUCCUGCGAUUUGCGGGAGAGGUUUGGCCCUUUUCGUGGGUUGCAAGUUGGGCACAUGCUGUGUUGCCCUGGAGAUCGAGAGAGGGGUAGGUCCCUAUUUUUUCUGGAGUGGUUUGUUGACCAGGGUUACCGGGACAAAUAUUUUGCCUGGCCCGUUUUUGGCGUCCUUUUAGCGCUGUCCUCUGUUUUUGUGGCAGUACAAGUGUCAUAUGGUCAUUUGUCAGGUUUUUUGAAUGUUCUUGAAUUGAAAAACAUUCAAGCGUCAAAUAGACAGUCCCUUAUAGAAACAUAUAUAUAUCACCUAAAAAGAAACAUGUGGAU